rnacentral:rRNA from 1 species
CAUGCAUGUCUAAGUAUAAGCAAUUAUACCGUGAAACUGCGAUGGCUCAUUAAAUCAGUUAUCGUUUAUUUGAUAGUACCUUACUACUUGGAUAACCGUGGUAAUUCUAGAGCUAAUACAUGCUAAAAACCCCAACUUCGGGAGGGGUGUAUUUAUUAGAUAAAAAACCAAUGCCCUUCGGGGCUCCUUGGUGAUUCAUGAUAACUUCUCAGAUCGCAUGGCUUUACGCCGGCGACGGUUCAUUCAAAUUUCUGCCCUAUCAACUUUCGAUGGUAAGGUAUUGGCUUACCAUGGUUUCAACGGGUAACGGGGAAUUAGGGUUCGAUUCCGGAGAGGGAGCCUGAGAAACGGCUACCACAUCCAAGGAAGGCAGCAGGCGCGCAAAUUACCCAAUUCCGAUACGGAGAGGUAGUGACAAUAAAUACUGAUACAGGGCUCUUUUGGGUCUUGUAAUUGGAAUGAGUACAAUUUAAACCUCUUAACGAGGAACAAUUGGAGGGCAAGUCUGGUGCCAGCAGCCGCGGUAAUUCCAGCUCCAAUAGCGUAUAUUAAAGUUGUUGCAGUUAAAAAGCUCGUAGUUGAACCUUUGGCCUGGCUGGCAGGUCCGCCUCACCGCGUGCACUUGUCCGGCCGGGCCUUUUCUUCUGGAGAACCGCAUGCCCUUCACUGGGUGUGUUGGGGACCAGGACUUUUACUUUGAAAAAAUUAGAGUGUUCAAAGCAGGCCUUUGCUCGAAUACGUUAGCAUGGAAUAAUAGAAUAGGACGUGCGGUCCUAUUUUGUUGGUUUCUAGGACCGCCGUAAUGAUUAAUAGGGACAGUCGGGGGCAUCAGUAUUCAAUUGUCAGAGGUGAAAUUCUUGGAUUUAUUGAAGACUAACUACUGCGAAAGCAUUUGCCAAGGAUGUUUUCAUUAAUCAGUGAACGAAAGUUAGGGGAUCGAAGACGAUCAGAUACCGUCGUAGUCUUAACCAUAAACUAUGCCGACUAGGGAUCGGGCGGUGUUUCUAUUGUGACCCGCUCGGCACCUUACGAGAAAUCAAAGUGUUUGGGUUCUGGGGGGAGUAUGGU